GACGAACGCUGGCGGCGUGCUUAACACAUGCAAGUCGAGCGGUAAGGCCCUUUCGGGGGUACACGAGCGGCGAACGGGUGAGUAACACGUGGGUGACCUGCCCUCAGCUCUGGGAUAAGCCUGGGAAACUGGGUCUAAUACCGGAUAUGACUCCAUGACGCAUGUUGUGGGGUGGAAAGCCUUGUGCGGCUGAGGAUGGGCCCGCGGCCUAUCAGCUUGUUGGUGGGGNGAUGGCCUACCAAGGCGACGACGGGUAGCCGGCCUGAGAGGGCGACCGGCCACACUGGGACUGAGACACGGCCCAGACUCCUACGGGAGGCAGCAGUGGGGAAUCUUGCGCAAUGGGCGAAAGCCUGACGCAGCGACGCCGCGUGAGGGAUGACGG
rnacentral:rRNA from 1 species